rnacentral:tRNA from 1 species
UUUAAUAUAUCAUAUUUAAUGUAUUGAAUUUAAGAUUCAAAGAAAAAAUUAAUUUUUUAUUAAAA